AUGCCAACCCUAGAUGACAUUUUGGAGAACGUUGGAGAAUUUGACAGGUUCCAGAAGCAAUCCUUCUUUGUCCUGUGUUUGCUUUCUGCUGCCUUCACCCCGGUGUAUGUGGGUGUCGUCUUCUUCGGGUUCACCCCCGAGCAUCGCUGCUUCAGUCCCGGGGUGGCCGAGCUGAGCCAGCGGUGUGGCUGGAGCCUGGAGGAGCAGCUGAAUCACACUGUUCCCGAGUGGGGCGGCCAUGGGGCCGGUUUCGGCAGCCGCUGCAGGAGGUACGAGGUGGACUGGAACGCGACGGGCGUCAGCUGCACCGACCCCCUCGGCAGCCUUGUGGGCAACCGGAGCAGCGUCCCCCUCAGUCCCUGCCGGGACGGCUGGGUCUACAACUCCCCGGGGACCUCUCUCGUGACUGAGUUUAACCUGGUGUGUGAGGACUCCUGGAAGCUGGACCUCUUCCAGUCUUCUGUGAACGCUGGGUUUUUUAUUGGCUCCAUAAACAUCGGCUACAUAGCAGACAGGUUUGGCCGUAGAUUUUGCCUCUUAAAUACAAUUCUUGCAAAUGUCAUCUGUGGAACCCUUCUGGUCUUUGUGCCCACCUACCUGUGGAUAGUCAUCCUCCGCUUCUUGCAAGGGCUGGUCAGCAAGGGCUGCUGGACCGCAGGCUACAUCCUGGUGACAGAAGUCGUUGGUCCGAGGUACCGGAGGACGGUGGGCAUCCUCUACCAGACGGCCUUCUCCGUUGGGCUCCUGGUCUUUGAUGCCGUCGCUUACGCCAUCCCUCACUGGCGGUGGCUGCAGCUCACUGUCACCCUGCCGAGCUGCUUCUUCCUGCUCUACUACUGGUGCCUUCCAGAGUCUCCCAGGUGGCUGAUAUCUCAAGGAAAAAAUGACAAAGCUAUGAAAAUUGUCAGCGAUAUGGCUAAAAAAAAUCGGAAAAAGAUGCCUUCCCAUUUUGAGGACAUUAAAUUAGAAGAGGAAGAUGGUGGAAAGCAGAGUCCUUCACUCAUUGACCUUGUCAGGACACCACAGAUGAGAAAAAACACGUUCAUUUUGAUGUACAACUGGUUCACAAGCUCUGUCCUCUACCAGGGGCUCAUCAUGCACAUGGGAGUAGCUGCUGGGAACGUGUACCUGGAUUUCCUCUAUUCUGCGCUUGUUGAGUUCCCAGCCGCCUUCAUCAUCAUCGUCACCAUCGACCGCGUCGGGCGGCGCUACCCCUGGGCUGCGGCAAACCUGGUGGCUGGGGCUGCCUGCCUUGUCACAGCCCUGAUCCCAGAGGACAUACAUUGGCUAAAAGUCAUUGCUGCUUGCAUUGGGAGAAUGGGAAUCACAAUGGCUUUUGAAAUGGUUUGCUUUGUGAACACUGAACUGUAUCCAACAUACAUCAGGUGAAAACUCACGUGACUGAAAUAAAGGGAAAAGUGGAGACAACCCGGGUGGACGAGGGGUCUGAAGUCCCACACACAGUGCUUGGAUUUGUCCUGCAUAAGGGUCAGAGUUGUGAUCCGUCCCCUUGCCUCUGCAGUACUCUGACGCUAACGUGAUGACUUUGCUGUUCAACCAGGAACCUCGGGGUGAUGGUCUGCUCCUCCUUGUGUGAUGUGGGUGGAGUCAUCGUCCCAUUUAUUGUCUACAGACUGGUGGAAGUCUGGCACGAUCUGCCGCUGGUAGUCUUCACUGUUCUUGGUUUGGUUGCGGGUGGACUGGUGUUGUUUCUACCUGAAACUAAAGGAAGAGUUUUGCCUGAGACUGUUGAAGAUGUUGAAAACUUUCAUGGGCACAGUGCUCCAAAGGCC